rnacentral:rRNA from 1 species
GACGAACGCUGGCGGCGUGCCUAAUACAUGCAAGUCGAGCGAAUCUUGAGGUGCUUGCACCUCUUGGUUAGCGGCGGACGGGUGAGUAACACGUGGGCAACCUGCCUGUAAGACUGGGAUAACUUCGGGAAACCGGAGCUAAUACCGGAUAAUCCUUUUUCUCUCAUGAGGAAAAGCUGAAAGUCGGUUUACGCUGACACUUACAGAUGGGCCCGCGGCGCAUUAGCUAGUUGGUGAGGUAACGGCUCACCAAGGCGACGAUGCGUAGCCGACCUGAGAGGGUGAUCGGCCACACUGGGACGGAGACACGGCCCAGACUCCUACGGGAGGCAGCAGUAGGGAAUCUUCCGCAAUGGACGAAAGUCUGACGGAGCAACGCCGCGUGAGCGAUGAAGGCCUUCGGGUCGUAAAGCUCUGUUGUUAGGGAAGAACAAGUAUCGGAGUAACUGCCGGUACCUUGACGGUACCUAACCAGAAAGCCACGGCUAACUACGUGCCAGCAGCCGCCGUAA